UACGAAGGAUGCGAGCGUUAUCCGGAUUUAUUGGGUUUAAAGGGAGCGUAGGCGGUCUUAUAAGUCAGUGGUGAAAUCUCGAUGCUUAACAUCGAACGUGCCAUUGAUACUGUAGGACUUGAGUACAGCUGCCGUUGGCGGAAUGUGUCAUGUAGCGGUGAAAUGCAUAGAUAUGACACAGAACACCGAUUGCGAAGGCAGCUGACGAAACUGUAACUGACGCUGAGGCUCGAAAGCGUGGGGAUCAAACAGG
rnacentral:rRNA from 1 species